AACGCGAAGAACCUUACCUGGGCUCGAAAUGUAGGGGACCGGGGUAGAAAUAUCCCUUUCCGCAAGGACCGCUAUAUAGGUGCUGCAUGGCUGUCGUCAGCUCGUGUCGUGAGAUGUUGGGUUAAGUCCCGCAACGAGCGCAACCCUUAUUGCCAGUUGCCAUCAUUUAGUUGGGAACUCUGGCGAAACUGCCUCGGAUAACGGGGAGGAAGGUGGGGAUGACGUCAAGUCCUCAUGGCCUUUAUGUCCAGGGCUACACACGUGCUACAAUGGUCGGUACAAACCGUCGCAAACCCGCGAGGGGGAGCUAAUCGGAAAAAGCCGGCCUCAGUUCGGAUUGGAGUCUGCAAUUCGACUCCAUGAAGCUGGAAUCGCUAGUAAUCGCGGAUCAGAACGCCGCGGUGAAUACGUUCCCGGGCCUUGUACACACCGUAGUAC
rnacentral:rRNA from 1 species